UACAGAGGUCUCAAGCGUUGUUCGGAUUCAUUGGGCGUAAAGGGUGCGUAGGUGGCGCGGUAAGUCGGGUGUGAAAUCUCGGAGCUUAACUCCGAAAUUGCAUUCGAUACUGCCGUGCUCGAGGACUGGAGAGGAGACUGGAAUUCAUGGUGUAGCAGUGAAAUGCGUAGAGAUCAUGAGGAAGACCAGUGGCGAAGGCGGGUCUCUGGGCCGAUACUGACGCUGAGGAGCGAAAGCGUGGGGAGCAAACAGG
rnacentral:rRNA from 1 species